UUACUGUGAUGAACACUUUUUAUCCCGAAUCUGAUUUAUUCAUUGAUGAUCCAAAAACCUUACGGAUCUGAUUACUGAGUU